rnacentral:rRNA from 1 species
AGGGUUUGAUCCUGGCCCAGGGUGAACGCUGGCGGCGUGCCUUAGGCAUGCAAGUGGAACGCUCUAUCGCAAGAUAGAGAGUCGCGAACGGCUGAGUAACACGUAGGAAUCUGCCUCUUGGUGUGGAAUAGUCCACCGAAAGGUGGGGUAAUACCGCAUAAGAUCUCCGGAUGAAAGGGUUUAACCGCCCGCCGAGAGAGGAGCCUGCGGCCCAUCAGCUUGUUGGUAGGGUAAUGGCCUACCAAGGCUACGACGGGUAGGGGGCGUGAGAGCGUGGCCCCCCAGAAUGGGACUGAGACACGGCCCAUACAUCUACGGAUGGCAGCAACCGGGAAUCGUGCGCAAUGCAGGAAACUGUGACGCCGCGACGCCGCGUGGGGGAUGACAGCCUUAGGGUUGUAAACUCCUUUUGCCAAGUGGGAGACCACUUGGAGAAUAAGCACCCGCUAACUUCGUGCCAGCAGCUGCGGUAAUACGGAGGGUGCAAGCGUUGCCCGGAUUUAUUGGGCGUAAAGAGUGUGUAGGCGUUUUGGUAAGUUAUUUUUCAAAUCCCGGGGCUCAACCUCGGAAAGGGAAAUAAUACUACCAGAAUUGAAAGGUUCAGGGGCUACUGGAACUAUCGGUGUAGGGGUGAAAUCCGUUGAUAUCGAUAGGAACUCCAAGGGCGAAGGCGGGUAGCUGGGAACCAUUUGACGCUGAGACACGAAAGCUAGGGGAGCGAAAGCGAUUAGAGACCGCUGUAGUCCUAGCCGUAAACGAUGCUCGCUAGCCUUCAGACUCCGAUUUAUCGGAGUUUGUGGGCGUAAGCUAACGCGUGAAGCGAGCCGCCUGGGGAGUACGGUCGCAAGACUAAAACUCAAAGGAAUUGACGGGGACCUGCACAACCAGUGGAGCAUGUGGUUUAAUUCGAGACGAACCGAAGAACCUUACCUGGACUUGACAUAUUUCUCUUAAUGCCGAACUAGAGAUAGAUCGGAAGUCAUCAUUUUGGUGACAGGGAAUUACAGGUGUUGCAUGGCCGUCGUCAGCUCGUGCCGUGAUGAAAUUUACCCCUUCGCGGCCCUUCGAAGUAAUUCGAAGUGAUAAAUCUGACUCAUAUCGGUGGAAACUCUUGUAUUUCGGUAUAUCUUCGGGUAUAUUGAAAAUAUGAGAACAAUACCGAGGGAAGUCGGGAAUUUACUAGAGUUUAAAGCUAGAGCGAAUUUGAGAUUAACACUUUCUGCUCGUCAGAGAGAAAUACUUAUCGGUUGUUUAUUAGGCGAUGCCUAUAUUCACCCGAGAGGACAAAUUCAAAUAGCUCAAAGCAUAAAACAACAGAG